CGUCGCCGCGGUAAAACGUAGGGUGCAAGCGUUAAUCGGAAUUACUGGGCGUAAAGCGUGCGCAGGCGGUUAUAUAAGACAGAUGUGAAAUCCCCGGGCUCAACCUGGGAACUGCAUUUGUGACUGUAUAGCUAGAGUACGGCAGAGGGGGAUGGAAUUCCGCGUGUAGCAGUGAAAUGCGUAGAUAUGCGGAGGAACACCGAUGGCGAAGGCAAUCCCCUGGGCCUGUACUGACGCUCAUGCACGAAAGCGUGGGGAGCAAACAGGAUUAGAUACCCCCGUAGUCCCUGUCUCUUAUACA
rnacentral:rRNA from 1 species